UAUUAAAUGAGAACAAUUGCAUAUAAGAUGUAGGAUUCAUAAUAAUAGAGCAAGAUGGUGAAAUCGAGGACAAAACGUAGAUGCAAAAGAGAAUUUCUAUUCGAGGACAAGAUCUGAAGACUAAAACAAAAGUCUUGCUCCAAUUGUUCUCCGCUAAUAGGUAAUCAUGUCUCCUAACGCAUUAUAUAUUACGUUGUCCCCCGCUAUCAGGUAAUCAUGUCUCCUAAUGUAUUAUAUAUUACGUUGUCCCCCGCAGAAUUUUGGAUAACCAAUUUGUUUAAAUAAGUCAUUUUUAAAUACCCAAUAACAACAGUAGAAGCCAGUUGUUCUCCACUAUUUUGUCCCCUAAUUCUUUAUUCUUCCAGCAUGAUUUUUCGUCUUGUAUCAUUACAUCAGCCAAAAGCUGUUAUGUCACCAUCUUCGUCAGAGCGCUGACCCACCUUAAGGAUAAUUUCGUCCACUGAAUUCCACGUGCAGCAAAAUGUGGCAUGAGUUGGAAGGAGUUACAGAAUAUGGCAGGGAUUGAAAGAAAUAGAGUGGAAUAUGGCAGAUUUUGCAAGAUUUCCUUUUAAAAUUAUUUUGUAAUUAUAUGUUUAAUUGAAGAAAGAUUCUUUUUUUUUUCAUGAUGCCCUUUUUCAACUCUAUCCUUUUAUUUUAUCCAUUUUCAUUUCUACCCUCUUUAAAUUUUUAAUGACCAUUUUACCCUUAUUUGGAAAUUAUUUUAGGUUAACAAAAUGGAAUCUUAAUAUUUUUUCGCCUAAAAUAUUCCAAAACAAAUUUUCCGCCAAAAUUUUCCCGUCAAAAACAUUUUCCGCCAAAAGUUUUCGGAAAAAAAAUUUCCCGCCAAAAUUAUUUUUUCAAAAAAAAUGAUCCCACAA
rnacentral:sRNA from 1 species